GUUGAAGUUCACACAUCUUAAAGUUGCCAAGGUUGAGAAACACUGUUUUAGAUGUUUGGGUUGCCCCAGCCCUGCAAAUAUUAAGUUUUUUU